GACGAACGCUGGCGGCGUGCUUAACACAUGCAAGUCGAACGGAAAGGCCCUGCUUUUGUGGGGCGCUCGAGUGGCGAACGGGUGAGUAACACGUGAGUAACCUGCCCUUGACUUUGGGAUAACUCUAGGAAACUGGGGCUAAUACCGGAUAGGAGCUCCUGCUGCAUGGUGGGGGUUGGAAAGUUUCGGCGGUUGGGGAUGGACUCGCGGCUUAUGAGCUUGUUGGUGGGGUAGUGGCUUACCAAGGCUUUGACGGAUAGCCGGCCUGGGAGGGUGACCGGCCACAUUGGGACUGAGAUACGGCGCAGAAUCCUACGGGAGGCAGCAGUGGAGAAUAUUGCACAAUGAGCGGAAGCCUGUUGCAGCGACGCCGGGUGCGGGAUGACGGCCUUCGAGUGUUGAACAGCUUUCGACUGUAACGAAGCGUGAGUGACGGUAAUGGGUAAAGAAGCACCGGCUAACUACGUG
rnacentral:rRNA from 1 species